GAUGAACGCUGACAGAAUGCUUAACACAUGCAAGUCAACUUGAACUUCGGUUUGGGUGGCGGACGGGUGAGUAACGCGUAAAGAACUUGCCUCACAGAUAGGGACAACAUUUGGAAACGAAUGCUAAUACCUGAUAUUAUGAUUAUAUGGCAUCGUAUAAUUAUGAAAGCUAUAUGCGCUGUGAGAGAGCUUUGCGUCCCAUUAGCUAGUUGGAGAGGUAACGGCUCACCAAGGCGAUGAUGGGUAGCCGGCCUGAGAGGGUGAUCGGCCACAAGGGGACUGAGACACGGCCCUAACUCUUACGGGAGGAAGCAGUGGGGAGUAUUGGACAAGGGACCAAGAGUCUGAUCCAGAAAUUCUGUGUGGACGAUGAAGUUUUUCGGAAUGUAAAGUGCUUUCAGUUGGGAAGAAAAAAAUGACGGUACCAACAGAAGAAGUGACGGCUAAAUACGUG
rnacentral:rRNA from 1 species